GACUCAAUGGAUGUGAGUCUGAGUGAACUCUGGGAGUUGGUGAUGGACAGGGAGGCCUGGCGUGCUGCAAUUCAUGGGGUCACAAGGAGUCGGACACGACUGAGCGACUGAACUGAACUGAGUUUAAAUUAAGAUCGAGGAGUUGUCAAAUGAGACAGUCUUUUCAGCAUUGAGAAACUACAACUGAUGCCAAGAAAAGAAGAUACAGUCCGUUCUCUUCAGAAAAACAUAAUCUAGUAUAGCAAGAAGACAGAUAAAUAUUUCUUUACACUGUGAUGUACGUUAUAUUCGAGUCAUAUCCAAAAUGUCUUAGGAACACAAAAGAAAGAGUAAAAAUAAAACAAGUUUAAUUAAGAAAUGCAGAAGUAUCUUUUUUCCUAGACAUCUAGGUAUGAAGCUUUUUAGGGAAUACAUUAACAGCCGAUUCUAGUUGAAGGCAGUACUGAUGUACCACAGAAAUGGAAAUUUUCACUGAAGCUUUAUUUGACCAAUAACAUUGUUGAAGGAGGACCUACUAUGUACAAAGUAUUUUCCUUGGCACUGAAGGUGGUGUAAUGAAUACAUAAAUCAUAUUCUCUGUUCUCCAAAAGCUGAAAGACGUAUGACUAAAGAGAAGAGCUUACUCAUUAGGAUACAGAAUUUGAGACAAGGACAAAUUUUCUAUUGACUGAGAAAAAUGUGACAAUCUGUAAUAAUGAAGAUCAUAUUCCGGCUUAGAAUUUGUAUGUAAGAUUUUGUAAAUUUGUCUGCAAGAAUUUUUCUGUAAUAACUUUCUAAAUCAAAAUAUUCAUUUCAUAAAAUGUUCUGACAAAGAUUCA